AUAGUAGAGGUGCUGUAAUUAUUAGUAUCUAAUUGUAGCUGGCAAGUGUUGAUAAUUAGAAAAAGGAAUUAUAGCCGAAGAUAUGCCUUGGCAGAGGUAUUUUCUGGGAUUACAUAAAAUAUAUGUAAUACUGUCACUUGUAUAUUAAGUGUUGGGCUACAAG
rnacentral:ncRNA from 1 species